UUAUUAAUUUUCUAGUUGUUUUAGAUUUGUAUGAUUAGGUGUCCAAAAUAACCUAGGGUUUCUUUUCUUUAUCUUGGGUGGCUGAGUUAGGGCUUAAGCUUGCGUAUAUAUAUACCCGAAGUUUCACUCUUUUUGAAUAACAGAGCAGCUGAGGCUGCUUCUCUUUUUCCUCUUAGUUUCUUUUUCAUCCCAUUUGUUUGUGUAAACUACUGUAGUGGUCGUAUAUGAUUUCGUUUUGAUUAAGCGCUGUGACAAUGCCUCUCCUUUCGGCUGCAAGGGCUUGAGAUCUGUUGAUCGAUUUCUUGCAAGCUUUGUUCUAUUGGCAAAUAUUGAUUUUUCGAAGGGUUGGGGGUUUCUUUGCUGCCCAGGGGAAGAAAGGUUCGAUGAUGAUGAGAUAUCAUAAUCUCGUUAAUCUGAUUUAACAUGAGGAUAAUUAAUCUCAUCCAUUCAUUUGUAUCUGAGAUCCUUCUCUCCUUACAUGUUUGAGCUCAAAAUAAGAACCUUUUCAAGAAAUGUGUUUCUGAUUAAUUGGCUUGUCUGUUUUUCUUUCCAACUUAUUUAUAAAGUAAUUGUAGGCAAAAGAUGAGAGGUCAUUCGACGUUCAUGAUUUGAAUUGUUUGGGCAUUUUAAGCACCAUUAAUUAGUAUCCAAAUUAUCAUAUUUUAUUU